rnacentral:tRNA from 1 species
GGAUUGUGGCUCAGUGGCAGAGUGCUUGCCUCACAUGUAUGAGGCACUGGGUUCAAUCCUCAGCACCA